UCAUAUGUUUUGCUUGAUCCAAUAUCCAAACAAUGAUUUAAUAGUUCAUAAAUUUUCCUAAUCAUCUUCUAAUUAUAUGUAUCUUUUUCGUGAUGAAAAAUCAUAAUCCACAGGUAAAAUUAUUGGAUAUUUAAUCUGCAAUUUAAGUGUACAUAAAAUAUUAUUAAAUUAAAUAUGAAAUAUCAUUUGUUAUUUUCAACAAUUUAAAUAUAUAAACAAAAGUACUGCUUAUCUUCUUUUACAAAAUAUUAUAGGUUUUAUGAAAAUUUGAUUAUAGGGUGAUCAACUGAUAAUAUGAAUAAAUAAAUAAUAACUAUGUUUAACAAAUAUAUUAAGAGAGUCGAAUAUAUGCAGUAUAAAAUAAUGUCAUUUAUAGUUAUUAUGAUAUGUCAAAUAAAUUGUAAAAUGAUGUACAAAGAAUAAAUUGUAAAAUUUAAGAAGUACACUAUGAAAUAUUCUUUAAGUUUUAUAUUGUAAAUAUAAAAGUUCGAAGAAUGUUGUAAUCUAAGCUAAAUGAGUUUAGUUAUAAGAAUUUUUUUUUGUUGAGAAAUUGCAUCCCCUAUACACAGAUAACCAUGAUAUUUGCAAAAAUGGAAAACUCACUUUUAUACUGAGCUGUUUUUCCUUAAUAGCCAUUCUACCCCUAUUCUUCUGAAGCAAAACCUAUUCUCUCUUUCUCCCUACUUUUCGUGUCUCUCUUAUCUUUUAUUUUAACUAAUAUUUUUCUUUUUAUUUUUCUUGUCUAUUGACAUCCUUCUCUCUCUCCGAUACGAAAUUCAAUUUUUACCCAAAAUCCAAGUUUUCAUCUUCAGAUAAAUCGCUCAAUCGGUCUCAACUGGUUUUUCCUUGCCAUCGUGCUCAUCCUUGUCGUCGCCAUCAACCUCCAGAUCCGGCAAAGAGAAAAGUUGAUCUCUCCAAUGGUGACAUUAAAUGUUUUUGCACGACAGGUCCCUGAUGUUCUGGUUCUUUUCAAUUUGACCCCAAACAUUUUAGAUUUACUGAAACAUCCUAGCGAAUCAACCCCGAAUCUUUAAGUCGUGCUAUCUAGCCCUUCCUGUAUUUUCACAAUAGUACCUCGUUUCUUGAUGGCUUUCAAAUUGGCCACAACAUUAAUUACUCAAUAUAUCUUUUGUUUUGGGUU